rnacentral:lncRNA from 1 species
GACAAGGAUAGGCUGCUGAACAAGAUUCAUCAAUCGUCAGAGCCCAGUGGGGCUGAAGCUGCAUCUGCACAUCACCAACUAGCAUUGAGGGUGCACCUCUUGUUUCCCAUUGUUAUCUACUGGAGCUAUUCUUCCCUUUGGAGUAGGAAUGGACAUAUGAAAUGUCAUUACAGAAGUGUUUUUAACUAAGAAAGACUCUGAUGAAGAGCAAAGGAAAACAUCACAACAUCUCCUUAUUAAUGAAACACUUUCUUAUUGCUCAUUCAAUAAAUAUAUUUUGAUCAACUUUAUAUCUAAACCUGGAAGGAACAAGCAACACUAUG